GACGAACGCUGGCGGCGUGCCUAAUACAUGCAAGUAGAACGCUGAAGGAGGAGCUUGCUUCUCUGGAUGAGUUGCGAACGGGUGAGUAACGCGUAGGUAACCUGCCUGGUAGCGGGGGGUAACUAUUGGAAACGAUAGCUAAUACCGCAUAAGAGUAGAUGUUGCAUGACAUUUGCUUAAAAGGUGCAAUUGCAUCACUACCAGAUGGACCUGCGUUGUAUUAGCUAGUUGGUGGGGUAACGGCUCACCAAGGCGACGAUACAUAGCCGACCUGAGAGGGUGAUCGGCCACACUGGGACUGAGACACGGCCCAGACUCCUACGGGAGGCAGCAGUAGGGAAUCUUCGGCAAUGGACGGAAGUCUGACCGAGCAACGCCGCGUGAGUGAAGAAGGUUGUCGGAUCGUAAAGCUCUGUUGUAAGAGAAGAACGAGUGUGAGAGUGGAAAGUUCACACUGUGACGGUAUCUUACCAGAAAGGGACGGCUAACUACGUG
rnacentral:rRNA from 1 species